rnacentral:tRNA from 2 species
GCGGGAGUGGCGAAAUUGGUAGACGCACCAGAUUUAGGUUCUGGAGCCGCAAGGUGUGCGAGUUCAAGUCUCGCCUCCCGCACCA